AUUAGCUCAUUUAAGGUUUUCUCCUAAACAUUACCUUUCUUCUUUGGUGAUGUCUUCGCUUUGGAAAUUCUCCUCGCCGCCGUCAUAGAGCGUAAACGGCGGGAAUCAGGAGACUUCUCAAUAAAAUCAAUAUCAGAAUUGUUUCCAUCAGUGGCCUUAGCAAAUUCUCCAUCAAGAUUCCUACUAACCCCAACCUCAGCAAAAUCAGCAUCCUUCUCUACCACCGAAUCUAAAACUUCUUUCGACUACAUAAACGUAAAGAAAACUCAGGCUUUAAAUAACAAAAACUCAUGUCUAUGUAUAAAUAUAACUCAGCAGUAACUAAAUAAAAGCUAUAACUCAGCCGUAUAAUAUGCAGAUAACUCAGCCAUAACUAAAUAAAAGUUAUAACUCAGCCGUAUAAUAUGAAGAUAACUCAGCCGUAUAAUAUGCAGAUAACUCAGCCAUAACUAAAUAAAAGUUAUAACUCAGCCGUAUAAUAUGAAGAUAACUCAACCGUAACUAAAUAAAAAGUAAUAACUCAGCCAUUAGCUUACCGGAGGAGGACUAGUAACAGAUUGGUUAUUUGUAGGUUUCCUUGGACCUUUUGGUGUCUGUUGAGUUUGGGGUUUAGGGUUGCCUUGCUGCUCUUUGGUUAAAAACAUUUCUCUAAUAACCACUCUAGAGUUUAAUUAUGAGUCAGCUAUGCCAGUUUGGCCAGUUAGGCCUACCCCAAUGACCUUCAGAUGCUCUUUCAUCUAUUUGACCUCGUUUUCAAUAGAUGCAAACCUUCUUUCAAACUUUGCAUCAAUCCUCGCUUCUACUUGAUCUCCAAUCACCUCCAGACGGGAAGACAUUUCUUUGAUGCUAUUAUCAACGGUGUCAAACCUU
rnacentral:sRNA from 1 species